UACAGAGGUCCCAAGCGUUUGUUCGGAUUCAUUGGGCGUAAAGGGUGCGUAGGCGGCGCGGUAAGUCGGGUGUGAAAUCUCGGAGCUUAACUCCGAAACUGCAUUCGAUACUGCCGUGCUUGAGGACUGGAGAGGAGACUGGAAUUUACGGUGUAGCGGUGAAAUGCGUAGAUAUCGUAAGGAAGACCAGUGGCGAAGGCGGGUCUCUGGACAGUUCCUGACGCUGAGCACGAAGGCCAGGGGAGCAAACGGG
rnacentral:rRNA from 1 species